rnacentral:rRNA from 1 species
ACAGAGGGUGCAAGCGUUAAUCGGAAUUACUGGGCGUAAAGCGCGCGUAGGUGGUUUGUUAAGUUGGGUGUGAAAGCCCCGGGCUCAACCUGGGAACUGCAUCCAAAACUGGCCAACUAGAGUACAGUAGAGGGUGGUGGAAUUUCCUGUGUAGCGGUGAAAUGCGUAGAUAUAGGAAGGAACACCAGUGGCGAAGGCGACCACCUGGACUGAUACUGACACUGAGGUGCGAAAGCGUGGGGAGCAAACAGG